rnacentral:lncRNA from 1 species
CAGUCGGAUAGAUACUACGGUUUCUUGAUCCGAGAUGAUGAUCUUGUUCAGUUUGAUGAGAACGACGAGGAUCCGAUCACCUAUAUAGUGCGAUGUAGAGGUCUGAUUCUGAGAAAUAGCUUGAAGCCAUAAAGUCUGAAAUAAAGUCCACGAAAGGCAAUGAUGUGUGGACAUUAGUUGAUCCACUUGAAGGGAUAAAACUCAUAGGGUGUAAAUGGAUCUUCAAAAGGAAAAGGGGCAU